AUCUUACCUUUCCUACUUUGUCCAUGUGGAGUUUUGAAGUUUCAGGGUAUGGGUGAUGUUCCCUUCUUUGGUUGCUGCCACGUAAUUGCUUUCUUGUUUGGAUCUCCUUCCUGGUGGCGGUGGCUGUUGUUAGUCAUGAGAAGGGAGAUUGCUUAUUCAGGUUUAUUCUGCUGUUUUAACACAGAUUUCCCCUCAUUUUUCAGUGGUAUAGUCCCAUAUACAGAGAUAUGGUGUUCAAGUUAUGUGAAGUCUCGAUUGUCUUCAGCAGGACACCAGAAAUAAUUUGCAAUUAUCUAUCUGAGUCACCCCGAAUGAUGGAAGUCUCCGAGCGUUAAACAACCGAAGGUCAAUACAUGAAGUAUUUCUGCAUCCUCUUUAGAAGCCUUCUUGCACGCUGCAACACCAAGCUCACUGUUAGGAGGGUACACCAUCCCCGAGGUAUUAAGUCCACGGAAGGAAUGAGGCAGCUGUAGAUGGAACCCCUUUGAGGCUUCCUUAGGCAUUCAGUGGUUUGGGAGAGUGGGAGGUAGAGCACAGUAGUUCGGGGGUGAGACAAGAUCAGAGCUGGAGGUGGAUACCAGCCUUCCCAGGUACUACCUGAGUACCCUUGGGGGAAGCUCUCUUAUGCUCCACUACACAUGUCCAUGAAAUGGGUACCCUAGCACUUAUCUCAUGGGCGGUUGUUGAGGAUAAAUGAGAUCCAGGAAUUCCCUUGGAAAAACCUAUAUACAAUGUGAUGGAUAUUUUACAACCUUUUUUUUUUUUUUUUUUUGGUAUUUUACAGUCUCUCAGAAAAUUUAGAUGCAGAUUGAAUCAAUGAAUUUGACAAUUUUUUAAUGUUUAUGUACACAUUGGUAAUUACAUUAUCAAAGACACAGAAAGGUUCCAUU
rnacentral:lncRNA from 12 species